AUGCACUCACCUAUUUAUGCUCUUUUUCCACAGUCUGACAAGAAUCAGGACUGUUCCAGGGCUUUUGGAGCCCUCUUGUCUCUCCGGAUGGUGACAUUCUAUCUUGACAACUCAGAUCCAGCCACCAGCCUCAAAAUGGCCUAUGGUAUUUCUAUGAAGACUGGACUCUCAAAACCAUUCAAAGAAUUUAUAUCUUUGUUAAACUACACGGGGAUCUUCCCGAGCCGGGGAUCUAACCCGCAUUGGCAGGCAGGUUCUUUAUCUCUAGCGCUGCCUGGGAAGCCCAGAUCUUCACCGCUGGAUUAUGAUCAGGCAGAGAAGGAGUGCGAAGAGAGAGAUAAGAAAAAUGAAGCCUCAGAAAAUUACUCCUAA
rnacentral:lncRNA from 1 species